AUCAGCAAACGUCAAUCAAACGAUAGGUUGGCUUUUCGUGUUGUUCGUGAAAUUUUUAAUUGUAUUAAUUUGAUAACAAUAGUGGGAAUAUUGUUUGAUAACGGCGUCUAAUUUUAACAACGAUGAAGACUUAUACAUCUCAAUCUAGUGUUUAAGUGAACAUUUAUACAGUCAUGCAUUUGUUACUUCUAGUUUUAGUUUAGUAUCGUUACAUUGAGAAGCUCAGCAACAAUAUGACAGACUAUCAGUACAGAGAGGCCAGAGAGGCAGCAGAGUCCCUUCUAGGGAGUGGAAUUAAUCCUCAUUAUAGCAGAAAUAUAUCUCAUUCUCAGUCAGUUAAUCUGGUGUCAGAGGACCUGGUGGCUGGACACCGACCUCAGGGAAAGAUGUCCACAGUGCGGAGGUUCUUCUGUCUGUUUGUCACCUUUGACAUACUCUUCACCAGCUUAAUGUGGCUCAUAUGUGUUGUGAUGAAAGGCGACUCGUUAGAACAGAUAAUAAAUAGUGAGAUAAUACACUAUAAUAUAAAGAAAUCUCUCUUCGAUAUAGUAAUGAUGGCGAUAACAAGGUUUACACUGCUACUGCUAUUUUAUGCGUUACUGUAUAUCAAUAAUUGGAGCGUUAUAGCUCUGUCAACGGGAGGAACGUGCGCCUUUUUGAUAGCCAAAGUGUUUGUAUUCGACUGGCCCAACGCGAUGCAGCCAGUGUACCAAGUGUUCCUCAUUCUGUCCUCGUUCACGCUGGCGUGGAGCGAGGCGUGGUUCCUCGACUUCAGAGUGUUACCACAAGAGUUACAAGCGAAGCAAAUACUCGACCACAUCGUGCACCACGGCGCCUCCGAGCGCACACCGCUGCUCGCCCCGCAGCGGCCUCCGGGCGUGCAGUCCACGUAUGGGGAGUCCACAGUCAAUUGGUUCUCGCCGGUAGAGACCCCAGAGCACAGUCCUCGCCGAAGAAAGGCCGAAGAAGAACUAAUAUUGACACAAGAACAGAUAGACGAAUACAAAGCCAAAGCUGACGAAGCCAUGCACGACGCCUGGAGGGUAUUGAACCUGCAGAACUGGCGGUUGGAGAAGAAAGGAUCGGUCCGCGGCGACGUGGUGGAGUCCAUACACACCGACCACCACGGGAAGGUGUACCGGUUCACUGGUUUAGUGGACUGUCCACCUCAGUUCCUGUUCGAAGAGUUCAAGAAUAACCUCACACGACUUCCUGAGUGGAACCCCACCAUCCUCAAGAGUGAAAUUAUCAAGGAAAUAGCGGACGGCGUCGACCUCUCGUACCAAGUGACGGCGGGCGGCGGGCGCGGCAUCAUCGCGCCGCGGGACUUCAUCAUCCUGCGGCGGACCGCAGCCCUGGGCCGGGACGGGCGCCCGGCCGCAGGGGAGCCCUACUGCUACGUCAGCGCCGGCGUCAGCGUCACCGUGCCCGGCAGGCCGCCGAGGACCGACAUGGUUAGAGGUCACAACAAGGUGGGGUGCUGGGUGCUGAAGCCGAAGACAGUGCACCUACAGGGUGGCAAGAUCGAACAGCAUACUGUGUUCCAGUGGCUUAUGUGCUGCGAUCUCAAAGGUAAAAUCCCCAUGUUCGUGUUAGACGCGGCAUUUGCAACUGUGAUGCUGGAUUACAUUGUCCACGUGAGACGGUUCGCCUCAGACGCCAAAGCUAAAGGCUUGUUCUAGAACAUUCUAGAGAGUUCCAGUAUGCUCUAGAAGGUUCUAAAUAGUUCUUGAAACUGAACGCAUGGCCCGAAACAUUCUAGGAUGUUCCAGUAUACUCUAGAAGGUUCUAAAUAGUUCUUGAAACUGAACGCAUGUCCCGGAAGAUUCUAGAAUGUUCCAGUAUGCUCUAGAAGGUUCUAAAUAGUUUUCGAAACUGAAAGCAUGUCCCGGAACAUUCUAGAAUGUUCCAGUAUGCUCUAGAAGGUUCUAAACAGUUCUUGAAACUGAACGCAUGGCCCGGAACAUUCUAGAAUGUUCCAGUAUGCUCUAGAAGGUUCUAAACAGUUCUUGAAACUGAAAGCAUGUCCCGGAACAUUCUAGAGAGUUCCAUUAUGUUCUAAAUGGUUCUUGAAGAUUAAUGGAUGUGCUUUACGGAAUUGUAAGUUAUUGCAAGGGUUUUAGAAUGUUAUAGAAGUAUUCUAGAAGAAUAUAAAGGAUACUAGAAAGUUUUAGUAUCUUCUAGAAUGCUCUUUAAGAUUCUAGAAAUUUCGGAAGGAAUUCUGAUUGAGGAAAAAAAUAUGUAUGUACUUUUUUGUUUGAAAGAUGGUGAAGUGACAUUUUUAGAUGAAUUAUUGGUGCUAAUUCCUGUAAACACCAUCUAAUUUUAUUUGAAAUUAUAUCUGUCGUUUUCUUAUCCGCCGAAAAGGCAAGGGACGGCUAAUCGACAAGCAUAAAAUUUAUGGAACACACGUCAAUUUUAAGCACAAAUCUAAAACAGCCCUACAAAAAUUUUGCAUUGGCUAGUAACCCGACAGAAUUAAGUUGACAGCACACGUCAAACGGUUUGCAUACCAGCGAGAUACCUUUUUGAUUCGCCCGGGUUAUUAAUUCAUUUACUCAUUCUUCCUAAAAUUAGGAGCUGUCAAUCAUCCGACCCUUUCCUUUUCGGCGGAUAAGAAAAUGACAGGUAUAACUUAAAGUAAAAUUAGGAUGUGUCUGCAGGAAUCGGGGCCAUUAUGUAAAUAAGUUUAAAUAAUUCCAGCAAUUUAUCAUAAUACUGCGCUUUAUUUAUUUUUUUAUUGCGCACAGAUGUGAAUAUUUUCUGACUCAUCAUAACGCCAUUUCCUUUUACGGGGUGGACAGGUUUUAAUAUGCAAAUAUUAAAGUGUUCAGUUAAUUUGCUUGGUUUUUAUAACAUAACGUAAGCUCACAAUUUCUCUAAGGACACAUUCUCUCGUAUAUUUACCUGCCCACCCCUAAAGGAACUGGCCGUGAAGAUGAACAGUUUUGUGUGUAUAAUAAUAUACAGGGUGUUGGUGACAAUGGAACGAAUACUGAGGGGGAUAUUAAAUAUUUUCAGUUCCAUACUUUUGCGUCCACCUAAUAAGACACGACGAAUUUAUUAAAAACAUCAUAGAAUGAAGCUACAAGGGAAGAGAGGAAGGGGAAGACCAAGAAGAGCUUACAUGGAACAGAUUAAAGAAAAGGUUAACGUCGUGUCUUAUAGGGAAGUCAAGGAAUUGUCCUUUGAUAGACUGGAAUGGAAAAUGCUGCACCGACAAGAGCGUGGCUCUUAAAUUGAUGAUGAUAACUUUUGCGACGGAAAAUUCCACGUGAUAUCAACUCGAGAGUCACGGUCUGAAUCAUCCCUCGAAAGUUUUCGUUACGAUGUCACUAACACCCUGUAUAUAUUUUUAUUAUUCCUAAGUGAUACUGAUUUGUGUAACGUGUAUGCAUUUUGCUAGGAUAUAAGUUAUUGUAAUAUAAUUAAUUACAUGGCCAAAAUAUGCUAUUAAUCAUGAUAUAUGAAAAUCCAGGUACUUAUGCUCAAAAGUGACAACUAACAUUUCAAGGUUAGCCCAGCUGACGUCAUCUCACCCUGCGUUGCCAUUUUGUAAAAAAUAAAUUACCCACGACCAACGUUUUUACAUUUACUUACUUGAACUUUUAGUAAAAGAUUUACCUACAGUUUUGAUUAUUUUUAUACAUGUGACAGCCUCCGUGGUCUAGUGGUAAGAGCGUUAGGCUCACGAUCUGGAGGUCCGGGUUCGAUUCCCGAUGGGGACAUUGUCGAAAUCACUUUGUGAGACUGUCCUUUGUUUGGUAAGGACUUUUCAGGCUUGAAUCACCUGAUUGUCCAAAAAGUAAGUUGAUUCCGUGCUUCGGAGGGCACGUUAAGCCGUUGGUCCCGGCUAUCAGCCGUAAAAACACCUCCACCAACCCGCAGUGGAGCAGCGUGGUGGAGUAUGCUCCAUACCCCCUCCGGUUGAUUGAGGGGAGGCCUGUGCCCAGCAAUGGGACGUAUAUAGGCUAUUUAUGCUAUGUUAUGUAUACAUGUGACAAGUAAUAGUAAUUAAAUACGUUAGUAAGUAAUUCACUUACUUUUCAAUAAUAAAAUUUACGUCCUUGGAAUGUUGGAGAUACCAAUUGAAUGGUAACACUUACGUCAUCAAAGGGCUAGCAAUGGCGGCUUGUCAUAGGAUUGAGCAUACCUGGUCUUCUUAUACCAUGCUAUUAAUAUGGCAUAAGCUCACGGCUGUGUUCCCAAUUGGGGUAGGCACAGGUACAUCGCAAGAUGAACUAAGUACCCCCCACCGAGCUUUCUGUUAGACCAACGUGAUAGGUGAGCCGUAUCGCCGUCUGUAAUGGAGACAUCUGUGUUAGCGUUUACGAAGUAUGUAAAAAGUUUUUUUUUAAACUUGGAUUCUGCUAGUUUUUUUUUUAAGAUUUAAGUGUAUAAGCUAAGAAAGUGAACCAACAGCUCGUUAAAAUUAAUAUUAUAGAUGUAAUUGAAUAUAACAUAAGUAAUUAUUUUAUUUUAAGGAAAUAAACCACUUUUUAUACUGC
rnacentral:misc_RNA from 1 species